AGAGUUUGAUCCUGGCUCAGAACGAACGCUGGCGGCAGGCUUAACACAUGCAAGUCGAGCGCCCCGUGAGGGGAGCGGCAGACGGGUGAGUAACGCGUGGGAACAUACCCUCCGGUUCGGAAUAACUCAGGGAAACUUGAGCUAAUACCGGAUACGGCCAUUGAUUGAAGAAUUGGCGGCGAAAGAUUUAUCGCCGGAGGAUUGGCCCGCGUCCGAUUAGCUAGUUGGUGUGGUAACGGCGCACCAAGGCGACGAUCGGUAGCUGGUCUGAGAGGAUGAUCAGCCACAUUGGGACUGAGACACGGCCCAAACUCCUACGGGAGGCAGCAGUGGGGAAUAUUGGACAAUGGGCGCAAGCCUGAUCCAGCCAUGCCGCGUGAGUGAUGACGGCCUUAGGGUUGUAAAGCUCUUUCGCCAGGGACGAUAAUGACGGUACCUGGAUAAGAAGCCCCGGCUAACUUCGUGCCAGCAGCCGCGGUAAUACGAAGGGGGCUAGCGUUGUUCGGAAUUACUGGGCGUAAAGCGCGUGUAGGCGGGUCUUUAAGUCAGGGGUGAAAUGCCAAGGCUCAACCUUGGAACUGCCUUUGAUACUGGAGAUCUUGAGUCCGGGAGAGGUGAGUGGAACUGCGAGUGUAGAGGUGAAAUUCGUAGAUAUUCGCAAGAACACCAGUGGCGAAGGCGCUCACUGGCCCGGAACUGACGCUGAGACGCGAAAGCGUGGGGAGCAAACAGGAUUAGAUACCCUGGUAGUCCACGCUGUAAACGAUGGAUGCUAGCCGUUGGGGAGCUUGCUCUUCAGUGGCGCAGCUAACGC
rnacentral:rRNA from 1 species